rnacentral:rRNA from 1 species
UCUCCUCGGGAGCAGGUCUGUCCGAGCGUCUG